GACGAACGCUGGCGGCGUGCUUAACACAUGCAAGUCGUACGGUAAGGCCCUUUCGGGGGUACACGAGUGGCGCACGGGUGAGUAACACGUGAGUAACCUGCCCACAACUUUGGGAUAACGCUAGGAAACUGGUGCUAAUACUGGAUAUGUGCUCCUGCUGCAUGGUGGGGGUUGGAAAGCUCCGGCGGUUGUGGAUGGACUCGCGGCCUAUCAGCUUGUUGGUGGGGUAGUGGCCUACCAAGGCGGCGACGGGUAGCCGGCCUGAGAGGGUGACCGGCCACAUUGGGACUGAGAUACGGCCCAGACUCCUACGGGAGGCAGCAGUGGGGAAUAUUGCACAAGGGGCGCAAGCCUGAUGCAGCAACGCCGCGUGCGGGAGGACGGCCUUCGGGUUGGAAACCGCGUUCAGCAGGGACGAAGCUUUUUGUGACGGUACCUGCAGAAGAAGCACCGGCUAACUACGUG
rnacentral:rRNA from 1 species